CAAUAGGUUAUCUUCAAAGUAUCACCUUUAAGAGUGGGUUUUGUUUUUGUUUUUUAAUAAGACAGCAAAGUUUUUUGUUUUUGUUUUUUUUAACAACACUGGUUGUUUGCAUUGCUUGAUAAUCCAGCUUGACACCCUUGACUGUGCGCUAUACCAUGACUUUCCUGAACUCUAUCUUUGUACGGUCAACAAGGAGUACAAUUCCUAUUACAGUCCACACAAGAAGAGACACAUUUUCGGUAAAAGCAAGAUCUGUCAGCCCUAACUUAUGUCACGGCUCUAUGAAUACCGAUUUUCCUCACCAGAGUUGAAGCUAAUCUCCAUCCAGGCAGCAAAGCACUUGGUCCGUUGAUAGGCACUGAGCCUACCACACAGUAUGCAUGGCACCACUGUUACAAUGAUGACAACGAUGAUACAAUGCCAAGGCUGCAACCACCAAAAACCACAGGAGACUACAAGUUGGGAGAAAAUAUCAAAAACCAUUGAUAUCAUAAAACUGACUCAGACCAAGACUCAAAGACUAACUUUCAAAAAGUAGAUACUCACAAGCAAAACUGAGAAAUCAGGGUAACACCUGUGCAAAAGCAAAGUUAUUAGUUGGAAUACUAUUAAAAGAAACACUUCCCUCUCAUCUACUAUUUGGGUGCCCAGUGGUACAGUUCAUAUGGAUAAAACAACAUGUAAGAUAUGAAGAGGAAUACUGACCAGUUCCACAAUCAGUAACUAUUGUAAUUAUCUGAAGAUAACAUCUCCUGCUAAAAAGAAAUGUAUGGGGUACAUGAACCUUUCUAGAACUUCCCUCUGGAUAUGGUAAUUUCCUUUGAAAAUAUUCCUUUUGCUAUUGAAAGUCUGUUGCUUUUGAACACUAGAUUGUUAGGUUUUGUGCUUUGCAUACAAUAUAUGUAUAAAUUUAACAUUAUCCCUUGCUGAAUCACUACAUUUGCAAGAAAAAAACAUUAAAACUAUAUAAUCCAGAACCAUUCCCUUCUUUGGGGUUGGCAGGGAGGGAGGGGAAGUUCCACAUCU